rnacentral:ncRNA from 2 species
UUAGAUUCACGCACAAAC